UGUGGAGGAAAAAGUUCAAAAUGUUUCUCUGAGAUGUAGCGGAAUAGAAGUAGAAAGUAACAUGAAAAGAAAAUACUUGCGUAAAGUACAAGUAACAACA